AUGGAUAUAACUCAGCAGCACAGUGCCUGCCUGACAAGCACAAGUUCCUGAGUUAGAUUCUCAGUACCAAAA
rnacentral:tRNA from 1 species